ACAUGCAAGUCGAGCGGAUCUUCAUUAGCUUGCUUUUGAAGAUCAGCGGCGGACGGGUGAGUAACACGUGGGCAACCUGCCUGUAAGACUGGGAUAACUUCGGGAAACCGGAGCUAAUACCGGAUAAUCCUUUCCCUCACAUGAGGGAAAGCUGAAAGACGGUUUCGGCUGUCACUUACAGAUGGGCCCGCGGCGCAUUAGCUAGUUGGUGAGGUAACGGCUCACCAAGGCAACGAUGCGUAGCCGACCUGAGAGGGUGAUCGGCCACACUGGGACUGAGACACGGCCCAGACUCCUACGGGAGGCAGCAGUAGGGAAUCUUCCGCAAUGGACGAAAGUCUGACGGAGCAACGCCGCGUGAGCGAUGAAGGCCUUCGGGUCGUAAAGCUCUGUUGUCAGGUAAGAACAAGUACCGGAGUAACUGCCGGUACCUUGACGGUACCUGACCAGAAAGCCACGGCUAACUACGUGCCAGCAGCCGCGGUAAUACGUAGGUGGCAAGCGUUGUCCGGAAUUAUUGGGCGUAAAGCGCGCGCAGGCGGUUCCUUAAGUCUGAUGUGAAAGCCCCCGGCUCAACCGGGGAGGGUCAUUGGAAACUGGGGAACUUGAGUGCAGAAGAGGAGAGCGGAAUUCCACGUGUAGCGGUGAAAUGCGUAGAGAUGUGGAGGAACACCAGUGGCGAAGGCGGCUCUCUGAUCUGUAACUGACGCUGAGGCGCGAA
rnacentral:rRNA from 2 species